rnacentral:rRNA from 1 species
AACGAACGCUGGCGGCAUGCCUAACACAUGCAAGUCGAACGAAGUCUUCGGACUUAGUGGCGCACGGGUGCGUAACGCGUGGGAAUCUGCCCUUGGGUGCGGAAUAACUUCUCGAAAGGGAUGCUAAUACCGCAUAAUGUCGUAAGACCAAAGAUUUAUCGCCCAAGGAUGAGCCCGCGUAAGAUUAGCUAGUUGGUGGGGUAAAAGCCUACCAAGGCGACGAUCUUUAGCUGGUCUGAGAGGAUGAUCAGCCACACUGGGACUGAGACACGGCCCAGACUCCUACGGGAGGCAGCAGUGGGGGAAUAUUGGACAAUGGGCGAAAGCCUGAUCCAGCAAUGCCGCGUGAGUGAUGAAGGCCCUAGGGUUGUAAGGGCUCUUUUACCAGGGGAUGGAUAAUGACAGUACCUGGAGAAUAAGCUCCGGCUAACUCCGUGCCAGCAGCCGCGGUAA